rnacentral:lncRNA from 1 species
UUUUAUGUUUUGAGAUUUAUUUUUGAGUAAAAGCAUUGAUAAAAGUUUUUGAUUGUAAAGUUAUGGGUAUAAAAAUAUUUGUUUGUAUGUACUGUAAAGGAUGAAGAUUAUAUGGUUUAGUUAUAGUAAAAUUUGAAUUUUGUACCUUUUGCAUAAUGGUUUAAUAAUAUUAUUUAAUGAAUAUGAUUUUCUCGAAAUAUGAAGAUUUAUUUGCUUUAGUAUUAAUUUAUAUGUAGUUAACGUGGUAAAGUUAUUAUUUUAAGAGUAAAUGGUAGUGAAAUGCUAUUCGAUUUAUAUGAUAGCUAGUUUAUUUAUUUUUACAUUUUAGUAUUAGCUAAAAGUUAGUUAUGGAUUAGUAGUUUUUUAGUUUAAGAGUUGGAGGAUAAGCUUCAUAUAUUAUUGUGAGAAUAUGGAUUAGGGUAAAAUGAUUGAUUAAAGUUGAAUUAAUAUUUUUUCUUUAUUAUUAUUUUAUAUUGUUGUUUUAUGUUAUAAAAAUUUCUUCAUAGUAAUUGAAUAAAUAUCUUUUAAUUAUAAAAAGUGAAAUAUAAUAUUGAAAUGAGUAUUGUUAGGUAGUAUAUAUAUAUUAUUAGUUUUAUUUUAUAGUAUUUAAAUUUAAGGUUAGUCGUGUAAAUAUAAGUUUAUAUUAGUAAAGUAAAUUAAAGGAAUUUGGCAAGAAUAAAUUUCGCCUGUUUAUCAAAAACAUGUCUCUUUGAGUUGGGCCUGCUCGGUGAUUAAUAUUUAACAGCUGCGAUAUUAAAACUGUACUAAGGUAGCAUAAUAAUUUGCCUUAUAAAUUGGGGUUAGAAUGAAUGGUUUGACGAGAAUUUAACUGUCUCUAUUUUAUUUAUUUGAAAUUAAUUUUUAUAGUGAAAAAGAUUUAUUUAAAGGGACGAAAAGACCCUAUUGAGCUUUUAUUAUAUAUAUAUAUAUAUAUAUAUAUAUAUAGAGUUUAUUUAUAAAUAAUUGUGGUUGGGGUGAUCAAGGAAUAAAGAGUAUUUGGGUAUUAUUAUAACUUCCUUAAUUUUAAAUUUAUUUGAAUAAUAAACCAAGUUUUUUGCUCAGAAGAUAAGUUACCAUAGGGAUAAUAGCGUAAAUUUUUUUGAGAGUUCAUAUUGAAAAAAGAGAUUGCGACCUCGAUGUUGGAUUAAAAUUGACCUUAAGGUGGAGAGGCCUUAUUGGGUAAUCUGUUCGAUUUUAAAAAAUUUACAUGAUCUGAGUUCAAACCGGUGAAAACCAGGCUGGUUUUUAUCUUUUAAAUUGUUUUUUUUAUUUGAUUUAGUAUGAAAGGAUUGAUUAUGAUUAAUUGUUAUUUAAUUAAUUUUAUAAAUGUUGGAUAAAGUUGGCAGAGAUAUGUGAAUAAUUCGGGAUUAUUUUAUAAAAGUAUAACUUUUACUUUAUA